AAGACUAUACUUUCAGGGAUCAUUUCUAUAGUUUCUGACUUGAGAAAUGUGCUUUUAACUUGUGUGGUCUUGUUAACCAUGAUGAUGAGUCGUGAUAUUUCCUUCUAAGCAUGAAAUUGAUAGAGAAUAAUGAUUCAGUUCAUAUGUUCUCUAUUAUUGAUGACUGUUCAUUACUUCUUUGAGGAGUAAUGAGGAAGGGUUUAUGGUCAGAGUGGU